rnacentral:misc_RNA from 1 species
CUGCAAGCUCGCCUUAUUACUCUCAUUGUAAAUCCUUAAACUAUCCUUCUUCCUUUUCUGCCGCUGCAGAUUAUUUUUCUUCUUCACCCUCUUCCCCUCCCACUCCGCCGAUGACCGUAUCACCGCCGGCACCGACACCUGCCGCGCCGCCCCAGCUGUGCAUCCUAAACCUCUGAAUGUGGUGCUCUUUUUCUUGGUAGUGGCCUCAGUGUUGGUUGUGGAGAAGGGGGAAAGGAAGAUAGAGGAGAUGGUGGAUUUGGAGGGACGACAGAUAUGUGGGGGUGGAUCUGUUUCUUGUGUAGAAAUGGGAUUCUCUUCUUGUUGAUGUUGGUGAUGGAAUUGGUUUCUGGGUUUUCUCAGCUUGAUUUGCUCCGCUAUAGUGGAUGAACUCUCUACAAAAACAGGCAUGAUCUUACAGAGAGAGAUAGGGAAGAAGAAAGAAAUGAAGAAUACAGAAAUGGAAUGCCGCAAGUAAUUAAGCUUCAGAAACAGAGAGAGAGAGAGAGAGUAAAACAUCCAAGCAGGAUUCCCAAAAGCCACAGAUAUAGACCUGUCUUCAGUAAAUGAAAUAUUACACAAUCACAGAAGAAGAAAGCAUGAUAGAACUAUUAUCCAAUCAAUAAGUAGAUUUUCAAUUUUUGAGGCCAGUAUCAUAUAAGCAUCUAACGCUAGAAACUCACAUGUCCUCUUUGAUCUGUAUUGGGUACAAACACAUGGAUGGGUGUUCCAGUAGUCACUCCUUCAGAGACACCUGAAUAUAUUUUGCAUGUAUCAGUCUCUUUUCUAGGGGUGGUAAUUCGACUCUGACCUGGCCUCCUCCUAUCCAGAUCAACUUGCAAAUCAGCUUCUGAUAGAGGGAUACGAGGAGGGCAUCCAUCAACGAUACAACCAACGCCACCUCCAUGAGACUCUCCAAAAGUUGUAACACGAAAGUAAGUACCAUAUGUACUCCCCGCAGCAUGUAUUUGGAGCUUUUUGGGGGUUCGUGGGCGGAAGGAGAUCUGGACUGUGGCGAUAGAGAGGUCCCGGAGGUUGGAAAGCGAGGAAGACCCAUCAAGCCGGUAAGCCCCAAGGAAAGGCUUGGAUGAAAGAGAAGAAGAAGCCAUUGAACAAGUAUCGAAUUCAGUGCCAAGAGAAGAAGAAGAGGAAAAGGAAAUGAUUGGGAUUGGUGGGUAGUGAGGUUUGGGCAGUUGGUAUAAA